GUUUCUGCCAGUUUAGUCAUGGUGCAUUUGAUUGAGAAAUUAGCUGCUGGUGAUACUGGAAGUUUAUUUGUAUCAAUACUUCAGAAGAUGAGCACCAUGUCUAAAAAGGUAUAUUGAGAUGAUUUCUUUGGAGCAAUUCUUGACAACAUUUGUAGUUGAGGCCUUUAGAAUGGAAGAAUGUAUUUCACUAAUUUUUGUAUACAUUUCUUGUUUUGUAUUUAGUGAUAAGGGAAUCUGAAUUGGACAUAAAUUAUGUUGUAAUAUGAUUUCUUAAGCCUAGACUAGUAGACUAAAUAUUGUAAUUACAUUUGAGUAAUUAAUAAAAAUCUAUUUAUGUUA